AUUGAACGCUGGCGGCAUGCCUUACACAUGCAAGCCGAACGGCAGCACGGGUGCUUGCACCUGGUGGCGAGUGGCGAACGGGUGAGUAAUACAUCGGAACGUACCUUAUCGUGGGGGAUAACGCAGCGAAAGCUGUGCUAAUACCGCAUAAGCCCUGAGGGGGAAAGCGGGGGAUCGAAAGACCUCGCGCGAUUAGAGCGGCCGAUGCCUGGUUAGCUUGUUGGUGGGGUAAAAGCCCACCAAGGCGACGAUCAGUAGCUGGUCUGAGAGGACGAUCAGCCACACUGGGACUGAGACACGGCCCAGACUCCUACGGGAGGCAGCAGUGGGGAAUUUUGGACAAUGGGGGCAACCCUGAUCCAGCAAUGCCGCGUGAGUGAAGAAGGCCUUCGGGUUGUAAAGCUCUUUUGUCAGGGAAGAAACACCGGCUCUAACACAGUCCGGGAAUGACGGUACCUGAAGAAUAAGCACCGGCUAACUACGUGCCAGCCGCCGCAGUAA
rnacentral:rRNA from 1 species